rnacentral:tRNA from 1 species
GCCGGCUUAGCUCAGUUGGUAGAGCAGCGCACUUGUAAUGCGAAGGUCAUGGGUUCGACUCCUAUAGCCGGCACCA